CAGCAGCCGCGGGAAUACGUAGGUGGCAAGCGUUGUCCGGAAUUAUUGGGCGUAAAGCGCGCGCAGGCGGAUCAGUUAGUCUGUCUUAAAAGUUCGGGGCUUAACCCCGUGUGGGGAUGGAAACUGCUGAUCUAGAGUAUCGGAGAGGAAAGUGGAAUUCCUAGUGUAGCGGUGAAAUGCGUAGAUAUUAGGAAGAACACCAGUGGCGAAGGCGACUUUCUGGACGAAAACUGACGCUGAGGCGCGAAAGCCAGGGGAGCGAACGGGAUUAGAUACCCCCGUAGUCCCUGUCUCUUAUACA
rnacentral:rRNA from 1 species